CUGACCUCCGCUUGUACAAGAUCCUGGCCGGGAUGUUCAUCGCAGCGCUGGGGGCUAUUGUUCUGGCCGUUGCAGUGGUCCUGUUAUGGCCCAGGAUAACGAAGCUAGCGAAGCCGCUAAAAGACGAAAGCUCCAUGGAACUGACCGGCACAAGGGAACAAUCGCAGGUUGACGACACCUCCUCGACCAACAGAUAACCACGCCGCCUGGAGCAGCCUGCAUGGCAGCCGCACUGAGACUCCCCUUGCCCGGCUGGACCCGGGCAGCGAAGUUGUUCUCACCCAGUGGCACAUUUUUAGUGCUUGCCACACUUGGUACGUCGCAUGUGUCAAAUGCAGGACCACUGUCAAUACCCGGAACUGAGCCCGGGCUGUGAAAAAUCCCAGGCUGUCUCCCUCCACAAACCCACGACAUCCGGAGCACCCUCAUCUGUGCCCUGUGACUCCGCCAAGCCCCCACGUUUGCAAUAACCUCCCGGCGUGCUGCCAAGCAGCUCAUCAGUCACAAAAUAAACCAAGGAGCAAAGUGUCAGUGUCACAAAUGUUCAAAAGUACAACGCC